rnacentral:rRNA from 1 species
CUCAGUAACGGCGAGUGAAGCGGCAAAAGCUCAAAUUUGAAAUCCUUCGGGAAUUGUAUUUUGAAGGUGGGUUUGGUUAGGAAAAGUUACUUUAAGUCCAUUGGAAAAUGGCGCCAUGGAGGGUGAUAGCCCCGUAAAAGUAUCCCUUUUCCUUUUAUCCAUUCCCUCCAAAGAGUCGAGUUGUUUGGGAAUGCAGCUCUAAGUGGGUGGUAAAUUCCAUCUAAAGCUAAAUAUUGGCGAGAGACCGAUAGCGAACAAGUACAGUGAUGGAAAGAUGAAAAGCACUUUGAAAAGAGAGUGAAAAAGUACGUGAAAUUGUUGAAAGGGAAGGGCUUGCAAGCAGACACAACCUCGGUUGGGCCAGCAUCGGAGUGGGGGGAGACAAAAAAGAAAAGGAAUGUAACUCAUUGAGUAUUAUAGCCUUUUUCUCAUAUCUCCACCCCC